UCACCUUAGGUUGUACAGAUUGUAUUGGUC
rnacentral:piRNA from 1 species